rnacentral:rRNA from 1 species
UACGUAGGGUGCAAGCGUUGUCCGGAAUUAUUGGGCGUAAAGAGCUCGUAGGCGGUUUGUCGCGUCUGCUGUGAAAACCCGAGGCUCAACCUCGGGCCUGCAGUGGGUACGGGCAGACUAGAGUUCGGUAGGGGAGUCUGGAAUUCCUGGUGUAGCGGUGAAAUGCGCAGAUAUCAGGAGGAACACCGGUGGCGAAGGCGGGACUCUGGGCCGAUACUGACGCUGAGGAGCGAAAGCGUGGGGAGCAAACAGG